UUUCCUUCGGGACAAAGGAGACAGGUGGUGCAUGGUUGUCGUCAGCUCGUGUCGUGAGAUGUUGGGUUAAGUCCCGCAACGAGCGCAACCCUUAUGCUUAGUUGCCAGCACAUCAUGGUGGGCACUCUAAGCAGACUGCCGGUGACAAACCGGAGGAAGGUGGGGAUGACGUCAAAUCAUCAUGCCCCUUAUGACUUGGGCUACACACGUACUACAAUGGCCGGUACAACGGGAAGCAAUAUCGCAAGAUGGAGCCAAUCCUUAAAAGCCGGUCUCAGUUCGGAUUGCAGGCUGCAACUCGCCUGCAUGAAGUCGGAAUUGCUAGUAAUCGCGGAUCAGCAUGCCGCGGUGAAUACGUUCCCGGGUCUUGUACACACCGCCCGUCACACCACGAGAGUUUGCAACACCCGAAGUCGGUGGGGUAACCGCAAGGAGCCAGCCGCCGAAGGUGGGGUAGAUGAUUGGGGUGAAGUCGUAACAAGGUAGCCGUAUCGGAAGGUGCGGCUGGAUCACCUCCUUU
rnacentral:rRNA from 1 species